GAUGAACGCUGGCGGUAUGCUUAACACAUGCAAGUCGAACGAAGAACUGAUUGUGCUUGCACGAUUUUUUCUUAGUGGCGGACGGGUGAGUAACACGUAAGAACCUACCUUUUGGCUAGGGAUAACUACUGGAAACGGUAGCUAAUACCUAAUAUUGCUGAGAAGUGAAAGAUGAAUAAUCGACAGAAGAUGGUCUUGCGGCUGAUUAGUUUGUUGGUGAGGUAAUGGCUUACCAAGACAAUGAUCAGUAGCUGGUCUGAGAGGAUGAUCAGCCACACUGGGACUGAGACACGGCCCAGACUCCUACGGGAGGCUG
rnacentral:rRNA from 1 species